ensembl:lncRNA
GUCGGAGUUCACUAUGAUGGAAGUCAUCAUUGAAUCUUUCUAACAAGCAGAGUUGUACUUCUGGGACCCUGCCCAGGUCUGUUUGAUUUGGGACACCAAACUGUUUGUGUAAGAUACUGGGUUUUUCCUGUGGGUGCAGUAUCAUCUGUGACUAGACUUUAAAACCUGCAGCCUCCUCAGAAGUCUAGCAGAACUUUAAUCACUUCAGAAUUUUAGUUUAGCACUUUAGAUUUUAGUUGUGAUAUUUCUUGGAAGUUAUCAGUCUUCUUACAAGCAGCAACUGGUUUGAAUAAAAAACCAAUAACCUUUCUUGGAGUCAUUAGGGAACUGAUUUGCAGGGCUCACUUUCCUCCCAGCACCUGCAGUGGUGAGUUCAGAGUAAGCCAAGACCUGAUAGCUACAGCAGAAGCCAUGACUAGUAGGAAAAGCAGGAGUAACUUUGGGUUUUGUUAUUGGGCUGUGACUGAGGAUAGGGCCUUGAACAUACUAGGCAUAUGAUCUACUACUGAGUUAUAUUGCUAGCUUUUUAUUCUUCAGACAGGGUUGAGUUUGAAUUCAGUGUAACCCAUGCGGGCCUUGAACUUGUGAUCCUUCUGCUUCAGUCUCCAGAGCUUCUGGAAUCACAUGUUUGCAUGACCAAGACUGGCACAUAGCCUUGACGAGUCCUGGAGGCUGACUGUCCACUAGGCACAGUGAGGGCCUGCUUCCUACAAAGGCGGUUCCUUGUUGGUUCUAAUGGGCUCCAGGAUAGAUAGUAAGAGGAUCACAGCUGCAAGAGACUGCAGAGGAGGACCCAGGAACUCCAAGCUUCUGAUAUCUAUUCCUACAGCAAACAGUCCUCACACUAGAGACUUCAGCACCUUAGUUUCUACUCCACACAUAGCCAGUGACUCAAAAUGGUUAGAAGCAUUCUAAAAGGUAAGCAAGUGACACUAGACUCAUGCCGGAAUUACCAGACAGUAAAUUUAACUGCAGGUUAUGCAUUACAGAGACUAAUAUGAAUAAACAAUGUGUAAGAACAGUUGGGUGGCAGGUACUGCUUUGAGUGUUGUGUGCGCUGUUGUUUGUUUAACAAAAUUCCAUUCAAUUUUACCAAUGAAAUCUCG